rnacentral:rRNA from 1 species
CCUACGGGAGGCAGCAGUGGGGAAUAUUGCACAAUGGGGGAAACCCUGAUGCAGCGACGCCGCGUGAGUGAAGAAGGCAUUCGUUAUGUAAAGCUCUAUCAGCAGGGAAGAAACAGACGGUACCUGAGCAAGAAGCCACGGCUAACUACGUGCCCGCAGCCGCGGUAAUACGUAGGGGGCAAGCGUUAUCCGGAUUUACUGGGUGUAAAGGGAGCGUAGAUGGCGUAGAAAGUCUGAAGAGAAAGCCCGCGGCUUAACCGCGGAACUGCUUUGGAAACUUUUGUGCUGGAGUACCGGAGAGGUAAGCGGAAUUCCUAGUGUAGCGGUGAAAUGCUUAGAUAUUAGGAGGAACUCCAGUGGCGAAGGCGGCUUACUGGACUGUAACUGACGUUGCGGCUCGACAGCGUGGGUAGCAAACAGGAUUAGAUACCCCUGUAGUC